GUAGGUGGCAAGCGUUGUCCGGAAUUAUUGGGCGUAAAGCGCGCGCAGGCGGUUCUUUAAGUCUGAUGUGAAAGCCCACGGCUCAACCGUGGAGGGUCAUUGGAAACUGGAGAACUUGAGUACAGAAGAGGAAAGCGGAAUUCCACGUGUAGCGGUGAAAUGCGUAGAGAUGUGGAGGAACACCAGUGGCGAAGGCGGCUUUCUGGUCUGUAACUGACGCUGAGGCGCGAAAGCGUGGGGAGCAAACAGGAUUAGAUACCCUGGUAGUCCACGCCGUAAACGAUGAGUGCCCAAGUGUUAGGGGGGUUUUCCGCCCCCCCGUUAGUCGCUGCAGCUAACGCAUUAAGCACUCCCGCCUGGGAGUACGGCCGCAAGGCUG
rnacentral:rRNA from 1 species